AAAUAUGAGGGCAAUCUGGCUGUGACAUCUGUCGCUUCAUUGAUCACCAGGGUUGAUUCGGCUGAUCUGGCCAGCUUGGUGGGUGUUCCUUCCCCCCCCCGACUCUUCCAUAUGGGUCCCUCCCACAGCUGCACACUCAGUGGAAGAGAACAACCUUCCCUGAUGGAGGAGGACCAUUCUUUAGUCAAGAGUAUAGAGUAGCUGUAUUCCCCUCCUAGAACCUCCAGACAAGCUAUCAAGGUCCAUUUUUAGGAGAACAUAGGGUAGUCAAGCUUCCAUGAUUCCAGACACAUCCAAAUGAGGUGCUUCAUAUGGCAGUCUACUUAAA
rnacentral:snRNA from 1 species